AUGGAGGGGGACGUGCUGACUACCCUGAAGGUCGUCAACAUCGGCGAGAGUGGCGUGGGCAAGUCCAGCCUGCUCUUGAGGUUCACAGAUAUUUUCGAUCCAGAACUUGCAGCAGCGAUAGGUAAGCCUAUGUUUAAAAAUUCAAUAGAAAUACCACAUAUUUUCUAGCCUUCAGUCUUUUAUCUAAUUCCUUCUACCCUCCCUCUCCCCACCCCAUUGCUUCCAAGUCUGUCGAAUUAUUUGUCUUGUAAGGCUUAGCUUUGGUUUCAUUAAGUUUCUGGAGCCUUUGUAGAUCACCAAGCAAAAAUAACUUAUUUGUUGUUUCAUGACACUUGGUUAGCACUGUGGGUAUUAUGAUUAUGAUUAAUCUGUACAUAGAUUUC
rnacentral:lncRNA from 1 species